rnacentral:rRNA from 1 species
UACAGAGGGGGCAAGCGUUGUUCGGAAUUACUGGGCGUAAAGGGCGCGUAGGCGGCCUGUUAAGUCGAACGUGAAAUCCCCGGGCUCAACCCGGGAACUGCGUCCGAUACUGGCUGGCUUGAAUCCGGGAGAGGGAUGCGGAAUUCCAGGUGUAGCGGUGAAAUGCGUAGAUAUCUGGAGGAACACCGGUGGCGAAGGCGGCAUCCUGGACCGGUAUUGACGCUGAGGCGCGAAAGCGUGGGUAGCAAACAGG